GAUGAACGCUGGCGGCGUGCCUAAUACAUGCAAGUCGAGCGAACGGACGAGAAGAUUGCUUCUCUGAUGUUAGCGGCGGACGGGUGAGUAACACGUGGAUAACCUACCUAUAAGACUGGGAUAACUUCGGGAAACCGGAGCUAAUACCGGCUAAUAUUUUGAACCGCAUGGUUCAAAAGUGAAAGACGGUCUUGCUGUCACUUAUAGAUGGAUCCGCGCUGCAUUAGCUAGUUGGUAAGGUAACGGCUUACCAAGGCAACGAUGCAUAGCCGACCUGAGAGGGUGAUCGGCCACACUGGAACUGAGACACGGUCCAGACUCCUACGGGAGGCAGCAGUAGGGAAUCUUCCGCAAUGGGCGAAAGCCUGACGGAGCAACGCCGCGUGAGUGAUGAAGGUCUUCGGAUCGUAAAACUCUGUUAUUAGGGAAGAACAUAUGUGUAAGUAACUGUGCACAUCUUGACGGUACCUAAUCAGAAAGCCACGGCUAACUACGUG
rnacentral:rRNA from 1 species